rnacentral:rRNA from 1 species
CCUACGGGCGGCUGCAGUGGGGAAUAUUGGACAAUGGGCGAAAGCCUGAUCCAGCCAUGCCGCGUGAGUGAUGAAGGCCCUAGGGUUGUAAAGCUCUUUCAGUGGGGAAGAUAAUGACGGUACCCACAGAAGAAGCCCCGGCUAACUUCGUGCCAGCAGCCGCGGUAAUACGAAGGGGGCUAGCGUUGUUCGGAUUUACUGGGCGUAAAGCGCACGUAGGCGGAUUGUUAAGUUAGAGGUGAAAUCCCGGGGCUCAACCCCGGAACUGCCUUUGAUACUGGCAAUCUCGAGUCCGGAAGAGGUGAGUGGAAUUCCGAGUGUAGAGGUGAAAUUCGUAGAUAUUCGGAGGAACACCAGUGGCGAAGGCGGCUCACUGGUCCGGUACUGACGCUGAGGUGCGAAAGCGUGGGGAGCAAACAGGAUUAGAUACCCCUGUAGUC